AAUGGGUCAGCGACUUAUAUUCUGUAGCAAGGUUAACCGUAUAGGGGAGCCGAAGGGAAACCGAGUCUUAACUGGGCGUUAAGUUGCAGGGUAUAGACCCGAAACCCGGUGAUCUAGCCAUGGGCAGGUUGAAGGUUGGGUAACACUAACUGGAGGACCGAACCGACUAAUGUUGAAAAAUUAGCGGAUGACUUGUGGCUGGGGGUGAAAGGCCAAUCAAACCGGGAGAUAGCUGGUUCUCCCCGAAAGCUAUUUAGGUAGCGCCUCGUGAAUUCAUCUUCGGGGGUAGAGCACUGUUUCGGCUAGGGGGUCAUCCCGACUUACCAACCCGAUGCAAACUGCGAAUACCGAAGAAUGUUAUCACGGGAGACACACGGCGGGUGCUAACGUCCGUCGUGAAGAGGGAAACAACCCAGACCGCCAGCUAAGGUCCCAAAGUCAUGGUUAAGUGGGAAACGAUGUGGGAAGGCACAGACAGCCAGGAUGUUGGCUUAGAAGCAGCCAUCAUUUAAAGAAAGCGUAAUAGCUCACUGGUCGAGUCGGCCUGCGCGGAAGAUGUAACGGGGCUAAACCAUGCACCGAAGCUGCGGCAGCGACACUAUGUGUUGUU
rnacentral:rRNA from 1 species